GGGAUACCCGCUGAACUUAAGCAUAUCAAUAAGCGGAGGAAAAGAAACCAACAGGGAUUGCUCUAGUAACGGCGAGUGAAGCAGCAAUAGCUCAAAUUUGAAAUCUGGCGUCUUCGACGUCCGAGUUGUAAUUUGUAGAGGAUGCUUCUGAGUAACCACCGACCUAAGUUCCUUGGAACAGGACGUCAUAGAGGGUGAGAAUCCCGUAUGCGGUCGGAAAGGUGCUCUAUACGUAGCUCCUUCGACGAGUCGAGUUGUUUGGGAAUGCAGCUCUAAAUGGGAGGUAAAUUUCUUCUAAAGCUAAAUAUUGGCCAGAGACCGAUAGCGCACAAGUAGAGUGAUCGAAAGAUGAAAAGCACUUUGGAAAGAGAGUUAAAAAGCACGUGAAAUUGUUAAAAGGGAAGGGAUUGCAACCAGACUU
rnacentral:rRNA from 1 species